GAAAAUCCAGGGUUAGAAACGUAAGUUUUUACCAGAGCAGUCACAUCAGUUUUUACCGGCAAGAAACCCAACCCUCUAAAAUCUAGAGAUCUGAAUAAAGAAGCAAGAGUUUUAAUCUGUUUUAUUUCAUGUAUGUUGUGUUAUCGAUUAAGUAGCCGGUGAACGAGGGGUGAUGGAUGUUAACAGUGGUUUGAAUAUCUUU
rnacentral:misc_RNA from 1 species